rnacentral:rRNA from 1 species
AGGUCCCAAAGUGCGUGUUAAGUGGAAAAGGAUGUGGGAUUUCGAAGACAACUAGGAUGUUGGCUCAGAAGCAGCCAUACAUUCAAAGAGUGCGUAAUAGCUCACUAGUCGAGAGGUCCUGCGCCGAAAAUGUCCGGGGCUGAAACACGACACCGAAGCUUAGGACUCCUUAAAGGAGUGGUAGAGGAGCAUUGUUAGCGCAGCGAAGCUGUACCGAUAAGGAGCAGUGGAGUGCUAAGAAGAGAGAAUGCCGGAAUGAGUAGCGAGAGGAAGGUGAGAAUCCUUCCGGCCGAAUAUCCAAGGUUUCCAGAGUAAAGCUGAUCUGCUCUGGGUAAGUCGGGGCCUAAGGCGAGGUCGAAAGACGUAGUCGAUGGAUAACAGGUGGAGAUUCCUGUACUAUGUGUACCCAGAACUGUGGGGACGCAUGUGGAGAGCACGAGCCGGGAAAGAGAAAACCGGUACAAGCGGGGUAGGAGUAAGGACAGCAAAUCUUCCUUACAAUCCGAAGACGUAAUGUGGACCGAACCAAAGUAGGGAAGCGUGUGAGCCAUGUGCCAAGAAAAGCCGCUAUUGUGAUACACAUACCCGUACCGUAAACCGACACAGGUGGAUGAGGAGAGAAUCCUAAGGCCGACGGAAGAAGCAUUGUUAAGGAACUCGGCAAAAUGACCCCGUAACUUCGGGAGAAGGGGUGCCCUGUGAAAGCAGGGCCGCAGAGAAUAGGCUCAAGCAACUGUUUAGCAAAAACACAGGUCUAUGCGAAACCGAAAGGUGAGGUAUAUGGGCUGACGCCUGCCCGGUGCUGGAAGGUUAAGAGGAGAAGUCAGGCAACGAAGCUUCGAAUUUAAGCCCCAGUAAACGGCGGCCGUAACUAUAACGGUCCUAAGGUAGCGAAAUUCCUUGUCGGGUAAGUUCCGACCCGCACGAAAGGCGUAAUGAUUUGAGCACUGUCUCGACAAUGCAUCCGGUGAAAUUGAAGUACCAGUGAAGAUGCUGGUUACCUGCGCCAGGACGGAAAGACCCCAUGGAGCUUUACUCCAGCUUGAUACUGGGAUUCGAUACUGUAUGUACAGGAUAGGUGGGAGACGUUGAGCAUAGAACGCCAGUUUUAUGUGAGUCGCUGUUGGGAUACCACCCUUGCAGUAUUGGAUUUCUAACCUGCAGCCAUGACCUGGCUGGGGGACAAUGUCUGGCGGGGAGUUUGACUGGGGCGGUCGCCUCCGAAAGGGUAUCGGAGGCGCUCAAAGGUUCCCUCAGAAUGGUUGGAAACCAUUCGAAGAGUGCAAAGGCAGAAGGGAGCUUGACUGUGACACCGACGGGUGGAACAGGUACGAAAGUAGGACUUAGUGAUCCGGUGGUAUAAAGUGGGAUUGCCAUCGCUCAACGGAUAAAAGCUACCCUGGGGAUAACAGGCUUAUCACUCCCAAGAGUUCACAUCGACGGAGUGGUUUGGCACCUCGAUGUCGGCUCAUCGCAUCCUGGGGCUGUAGCAGGUCCCAAGGGUUGGGCUGUUCGCCCAUUAAAGCGGUACGCGAGCUGGGUUCAGAACGUCGUGAGACAGUUCGGUCCCUAUCCGGCGCAGGCGGAGGAUAUUUGAGAGGAGCUGUCCUUAGUACGAGAGGACCGGGAUGGACGGACCACUGGUGUAUCUGUUGGCUAUCGGAGCCAUGGCAGAGUAGCCAAGUCCGGCAGGGAUAAACGCUGAAGGCAUCUAAGCGUGAAGCCCCCCUCAAGAUGAGAUAUCCCUCAGAAAUGAGUAAGACCCCUUGA